rnacentral:rRNA from 1 species
GACGAACGCUGGCGGCGUGCUUAACACAUGCAAGUCACGGGGGCUUGGGGGCGACUCUGAGCAACCGGCGAACGGGUGCGUAACACGUGAGCAACCUGCCGAUCUGUGGGGGAUAGCCGGGCUAACGCCCGGGUAAUACCGCAUACGGUUCCUGCGAGGCGUCUUGCGGGAAAGAAACCUCUGGGGCAGAUCGAGGGGCUCGCGGCCUAUCAGCUGGUUGGGGGGUAAUGCCCACCAAGGCGACGAUGGGUAGCUGGUCUGAGAGGAUGGCCAGCCACAUUGGGACUGAGAGACGGCCCAGACUCCUACGGGAGGCAGCAGUGGGGAAUCUUGCGCAAUGGCCGCAAGGCUGACGCAGCGACGCCGCGUGUGGGAGGACG